rnacentral:tRNA from 1 species
UGGGGUAUGGUGUAAUUUGGCAGCACGAGUGAUUCUGGUUCAUUUAGUCUAGGUUCGAGUCCUGGUACCCCAGCGA